AGCUUGCUCUUUUGGUUUAGCGGCGGACGGGUGAGUAACACGUGGGCAACCUGCCCUGCAGAUCGGGAUAACUCCGGGAAACCGGUGCUAAUACCGAAUAGUUUGGCGCCUCUCCUGAGGCGCUACGGAAAGACGGCAUCUCGCUGUCACUGCAGGAUGGGCCCGCGGCGCAUUAGCUAGUUGGUGGGGUAACGGCCCACCAAGGCGACGAUGCGUAGCCGACCUGAGAGGGUGAUCGGCCACACUGGGACUGAGACACGGCCCAGACUCCUACGGGAGGCAGCAGUAGGGAAUCUUCCGCAAUGGACGCAAGUCUGACGGAGCAACGCCGCGUGAGUGACGAAGGUUUUCGGAUCGUAAAACUCUGUUGUGAGGGAAGAAACCGUGCCAAUUAACUACUGGCACCUUGACGGUACCUCACCAGAAAGCCACGGCUAACUACGUGCCAGCAGCCGCGGUAAUACGUAGGUGGCAAGCGUUGUCCGGAAUUAUUGGGCGUAAAGCGCGCGCAGGCGGUCCUUUAAGUCUGAUGUGAAAGCCCACGGCUCAACCGUGGAGGGUCAUUGGAAACUGGAGGACUUGAGUGCAGAAGAGGAAAGUGGAAUUCCACGUGUAGCGGUGAAAUGCGUAGAGAUGUGGAGGAACACCAGUGGCGAAGGCGACUUUCUGGUCUGUAACUGACGCUGAGGCGCGAAAGCGUGGGGAGCAAACAGGAUUAGAUA
rnacentral:rRNA from 1 species